GACGAACGCUGGCGGCGUGCUUAACACAUGCAAGUCGAACGGAAAGGCCCUGCUUUUGUGGGGUGCUCGAGUGGCGAACGGGUGAGUAACACGUGAGUAACCUGCCCUUGACUUUGGGAUAACUUCAGGAAACUGGGGCUAAUACCGGAUAGGAGCUCCUGCUGCAUGGUGGGGGUUGGAAAGUUUCGGCGGUUGGGGAUGGACUCGCGGCUUAUCAGCUUGUUGGUGGGGUAGUGGCUUACCAAGGCUUUGACGGGUAGCCGGCCUGAGAGGGUGACCGGCCACAUUGGGACUGAGAUACGGCCCAGACUCCUACGGGAGGCAGAAGUGGGGAAUAUUGCACAAUGGGCGGAAGCCUGAUGCAGCAACGCCGCGUGCGGGAUGACGGCCUUCGGGUUGUAAACCGCUUUCGCCUGUGACGAAGCGUGAGUGACGGUAAUGGGUCAAGAAGCACCGGCUAACUACGUG
rnacentral:rRNA from 1 species